GACGAACGCUGGCGGCGUGCUUAACACAUGCAAGUCGAACGGAAAGGCCCUGCUUUUGUGGUAUGCUCGAGUGGCGAACGGGUGAGUAACACGUGAGUAACCUGCCCUUGACUUUGGUAUAACUUCAGGAAACUGGGGCUUAUACCGGAUAGGAGCUCCUGCUGCAUGGUGGGGGUUGGAAAGUUUCGGCGGCUGGGGAUGGACUCGCGGCUUAUCAGCUUGUUGGUGGGGUAGUGGCUUACCAAGGCUUUGACGGGUAGCCGGCCUGAGAGGGUGACCGGCCACAUUGGGACUGAGAUACGGCCCAGACUCCUACGGGAGGCAGCAGUGGGGAAUAUUGCACAAUGGGCGGAAGCCUGAUGCAGCAACGCCGCGUGCGGGAUGACGGCCUUCGGGUUGUAAACCGCUUUCGCCUGUGACGAAGCGUGAGUGACGGUAAUGGGUAAAGAAGCACCGGCUAACUACGUG
rnacentral:rRNA from 1 species